UCGGGUUGUAAAGCACUUUCAGUGAGGAGACGCUGUGGGCUAAUACCUGCAAGAGAGACAUCACUCACAGAAGAAGCACCGGCUAACUCCGUGCCAGCAGCCGCGGUAAUACGGAGGGUGCGAGCGUUAAUCGGAAUUACUGGGCGUAAAGCGCGCGUAGGCGGCUGAUAAGCCGGUUGUGAAAGCCCCGGGCUCAACUGGGAACGGCAUCCGGAACUGUCAGGCUAGAGUGCAGGAGAGGAAGGUAGAAUUCCCGGUGUAGCGGUGAAAUGCGUAGAGAUCGGGAGGAAUACCAGUGGCGAAGGCGGCCUUCUGGACUGACACUGACGCUGAGGUGCGAAAGCGUGGGUAGCAAACAGGAUUAGAUACCCUGGUAGUCCACGCCGUAAACGAUGUCGACUAGCCGUUGGGGUCCUCGAGACCUUUGUGGCGCAGUUAACGCGAUAAGUCGACCGCCUGGGGAGUACGGCCGCAAGGUUAAAACUCAAAUGAAUUGACGGGGGCCCGCACAAGCGGUGGAGCAUGUGGUUUAAUUCGAUGCAACGCGAAGAACCUUACCUACUCUUGACAUCGAGCGAACUUUCCAGAGAUGGAAGGGUGCCUUCGGGAACGCUCAGACAGGUGCUGCAUGGCCGUCGUCAGCUCGUGUUGUGAAAUGUUGGGUUAAGUCCCGUAACGAGCGCAACCCUUGUCCCUAUUUGCCAGCGAUUCGGUCGGGAACUCUAGGGAGACUGCCGGUGACAAACCGGAGGAAGGUGGGGACGACGUCAGGUCAUCAUGGCCCUUACGAGUAGGGCUACACACGUGCUACAAUGGCCGGUACAGAGGGUGGCAAUGCCGCGAGGUGGAGCUAAUCUCAUAAAGCCGGUCUCAGUCCGGAUCGGAGUCUGCAACUCGACUCCGUGAAGUCGGAAUCGCUAGUAAUCGUGAAUCAGAAUGUCACGGUGAAUACGUUCCCGGGCCUUGUACACACCGCCCGUCACACCAUGGGAGUGGACUGCACCAGAAGUGGUUAGCCUAACUUCGGAGGGCGAUCACCACGGUG
rnacentral:rRNA from 1 species